rnacentral:lncRNA from 1 species
CAGCCCUUGAAUCCCCCUCUUUUUAAUUCUCUCUGCAGCCUCACAUAAACCCUAGCUGCCACCAUCCAAUUUCACCCUAAUCUACCUCAGUCCCUACCUAAUCCAUGAUCUUCCAUGGCCGUUUGAGAUGUAUACAGGCCUCCUACAUCUUCCGGUGGCCUAUUUGUGUGAUUUAAUGGACAUAUCUCGAAGAGAUCUUGUUCGGUCCUUGCUCAACCUCUAUCUGUGGUCCUUCUCGGCCAUCCAUGGCCGUUCAAGUCAGAUCCUUGUCCUU